rnacentral:misc_RNA from 1 species
UCUCCGUUGGUGAACCAGCGGAGGGAUCAUUACAGAGUUGCAAAACUCCCAAACCAUUGUGAACGUUACCUAUCCCGUUGCUUCGGCGGGCGGCCCGGGCCCCGCGCCCGGCGCCCCCCGGCCCCCCGUGGGCGCCCGCCGGAGGUAAACCAAGCCCUUGAAUUGCAUGGCCUCUCUGAGUCUUCUGUACUGAAUAAGUCAAAACUUUCAACAGCGGAUCUCUUGGUUCUG